CCCUUAGAUGUUCGGGGCCGCACGCGCGCUACACUGAAGGAAUCAGCACGUCUUUCUCCUUGUCCGAAAGGACUGGGUAACCCGCUGAACCUCCUUCGUGCUAGGGAUUGGGGCUUGUAAUUCUUCCCCAUGAACGAGGAAUUCCCAGUAGGCGCGAGUCAUAAGCUCGCGUUGAUUACGUCCCUGCCCUUUGUACACACCGCCCGUCGCUACUACCGAUUGGAUGGUUUAGUGAGAUCCUCGGAUUGGUCCCGGCGCGGCCUCUGGUCGUGCCGGAGUGCCGAAAAGAAUGUCGAACUUGAUCAUCUAGAGGAAGUAAAAGUCGUAACA
rnacentral:rRNA from 1 species